rnacentral:rRNA from 1 species
UACGUAGGUGGCAAGCGUUAUCCGGAAUUAUUGGGCGUAAAGGGUGCGCAGUCGGCUUAUUAAGUUUGUGGUGAAAGUGCGGGGCUUAACUCCGUAUAGCCAUGAAAACUGGUGAGCUAGAGUGCAGAAGAGGGUAGUGGAAUUCCAUGUGUAGCGGUAAAAUGCGUAGAUAUAUGGAGGAACACCAGUGGCGAAGGCGGCUACCUGGUCUGUAACUGACGAUGAGGCACGAAAGCGUGGGGAGCAAAUAGGAUUAGAUACCCUAGUAGUCCACGCUGUAAACGAUGAAUACUAAGUGUUGGGGAAACUCAGUGCUGCAGCUAACGCAAUAAGUAUUCCGCCUGGGGAGUAUGCACGCAAGUGUGAA